rnacentral:rRNA from 1 species
CCCCCAUGGGGGGCGUGCUUUAAACAUGCAAGUCGAACGAUGAACCGCUUUCGGGCGGGGAUUAGUGGCGAACGGGUGAGUAACACGUGGGCAAUCUGCCCUGCACUCUGGGACAAGCCCUGGAAACGGGGUCUAAUACCGGAUAUGACUGUCCAUCGCAUGGUGGAUGGUGUAAAGCUCCGGCGGUGCAGGAUGAGCCCGCGGCCUAUCAGCUUGUUGGUGAGGUAGUGGCUCACCAAGGCGACGACGGGUAGCCGGCCUGAGAGGGCGACCGGCCACACUGGGACUGAGACACGGCCCAGACUCCUACGGGAGGCAGCAGUGGGGAAUAUUGCACAAUGGGCGAAAGCCUGAUGCAGCGACGCCGCGUGAGGGAUGACGGCCUUCGGGUUGUAAACCUCUUUCAGCAGGGAAGAAGCGAAAGUGACGGUACCUGCAGAAGAAGCGCCGGCUAACUACGUGCCAGCAGCCGCGGUAAUACGUAGGGCGCAAGCGUUGUCCGGAAUUAUUGGGCGUAAAGAGCUCGUAGGCGGCUUGUCACGUCGGUUGUGAAAGCCCGGGGCUUAACCCCGGGUCUGCAGUCGAUACGGGCAGGCUAGAGUUCGGUAGGGGAGAUCGGAAUUCCUGGUGUAGCGGUGAAAUGCGCAGAUAUCAGGAGGAACACCGGUGGCGAAGGCGGAUCUCUGGGCCGAUACUGACG